rnacentral:lncRNA from 1 species
GAAAUAGAUAAUAAAUUAAUAAUAUAUAACUACUCUGCAUGAAUACAAAACAUUUUAUUUAAAAUUAAUAAGACUAAAAAUAGAAAAGUCAUUUAAGGGCACUUGUCUCUGCCCUUGGUGUUCUUCAUAUCACGGUAGCAAGGGCACUGAGCCUUAUCGGCGUACGGACCCGCCGGAACGCAGCCUUGGCAUUUCCCGCAGCAGAUCCCACAAUACUUCAGACACCUGUCUUUCCACCCGGACCUCGAACACCGGUACGCGCACUUUGAGUCGCAUCCCAAAGGAUCUGCUUGGGUUGGGGAUGGAGCGGGCGAUUCAACGGCGGCGGAGGCGGAGGAGAGGAGGAGGAGGGUGGCGAUAAGCAACAGGGUAAUUGUUAGGUGGUUCAUGGUGGUGUUGGGUGUUAGGGGGUGAUGUUUGUGUAGAUUUAUAGUGGUAGUGGGGUGGGUGAUGCAUGUGGGAUUCACAUGGAUGAAUUAAAGUAUGAGUUGACGAUGUACGGUCAAAUUAACGUCAUUCUCCGCGUCAAAUGUUGUUCAAGGUGUGGAGAAGGGGUUUUCUAA